GCGGAGGAAAAGAAACCAACAGGGAUUGCCCUAGUAACGGCGAGUGAAGCGGCAACAGCUCAAAUUUGAAAUCUGGCGCAAGCCCGAGUUGUAAUUUGUAGAGGAUGCUUCUGGCCAGCGGCCGUUCUAAGUUCCUUGGAACAGGACGUCAUAGAGGGUGAGAAUCCCGUAUGUGACCGGCGCGCAGCCUUUACGUAGCUCCUUCGACGAGUCGAGUUGUUUGGGAAUGCAGCUCUAAAUGGGAGGUAAAUUUCUUCUAAAGCUAAAUACCGGCCAGAGACCGAUAGCGCACAAGUAGAGUGAUCGAAAGAUGAAAAGCACUUUGGAAAGAGAGUUAAAAAGCACGUGAAAUUGUUGAAAGGGAAGCGCUUGCAACCAGACUUCGUAGCGGUGUUCCGCCGGUCUUCUGACCGGUCCACUCAUCGUCGCGAGGCCAACAUCGUCUGGGACCGCUGGAUAAGACCUAAGGAAUGUAGCUUCCCUCGGGAAGUGUUAUAGCCUGUGGUGAUGCAGCGCGUCUCGGGCGAGGUCCGCGCUUCGGCAAGGAUGUUGGCGUAAUGGUUGUCAGCGGCCCGUCUUGAAACACGGACCAAGGAGUCUAACAUCUAUGCGAGUGUUCGGGUGUCAAACCCCUACGCGUAAUGAAAGUGAACGGAGGUGGGAAGCGCAAGCUGCACCAUCGACCGAUCCUGAUGUCCUCGGAUGGAUUUGAGUAAGAGCAUAGCUGUUGGGACCCGAAAGAUGGUGAACUAUGCCUGAAUAGGGUGAAGCCAGAGGAAACUCUGGUGGAGGCUCGCAGCGGUUCUGACGUGCAAAUCGAUCGUCAAAUUUGGGUAUAGGGGCGAAAGACUAAUCGAACCAUCUAGUAGCUGGUUCCUGC
rnacentral:rRNA from 1 species